rnacentral:lncRNA from 1 species
GCAAUAAAGAACCUUUGCGUGAACCGGGCUCGCACAGCUUUGUCCAGUGCUUUAUUUUUCAUUCUGUAUAUUCCAACAGGAUGUUUAUGGAAACUUGGCUGGUUUGUGGAAGAAAGCAAAGCUCUCCUGAAGGAAUUAGGCAGGAACUCUUGCAGGUUUUUUUUUUUUUUCUUGUAGUAUUUAUGUCUGUCAAGCUACUUUAGCACACAUGGAGCUUCUUAAAACUCAUUGACAGAGGCCCGCGAGGCUGAGUCCCACACAGGUCACUCAGUAAGAAUUUUUAGUAUAUGGGUGAGUGUUCACUUAGCUUUGAGCUGAAAUAGUCUAAAAAGCAAUCGUGAGAAGUUAACAUAAAAGCAAUUAAAAAGUGCACAAGGAAGAAAAUUGCUGGGGAUGGAUCUCUUCCUGAGCUGGGGCAAAUGCUUUGGCUACUCCAGCAGCAUCACCUGAUGGAGGUGUUGCCUUUGGAUGCUGAGUGCUCGGUGUCACACAAGGCCACAUUGCCCAGGUGUGACAGCUUAAACUGAAUAAAAGUUUACUAGGCAUAAAAUAUGGUGGCCUU